GAGUUUGAUCAUGGCUCAGAGCGAACGCUGGCAGCGUGCUUAACACAUGCAAGUCGAGUGCGUAGUCAUCUGUAGCAAUACAGGUGGCAGGCGCACGGCGCACGGGUGCGUAACACGUGGGUAAUCUGCCCUCUGAUGGGGAAUAACCCGCCGAAAGGCGGGCUAAUACCGCAUAACAUCCCUUUGGCUUCGGCUGGGGGGAUCAAAGUCCGCCGCAAGGCGGACGUCGGAGGAGGAGCCCGCGCCCGAUUAGCUAGUUGGUGAGGUCAUGGCUCACCAAGGCUUUGAUCGGUAGCCGGUCUGAGAGGACGACCGGCCACACUGGAACUGAGACACGGUCCAGACUCCUACGGGAGGCAGCAGUGGGGAAUAUUGCGCAAUGGGCGAAAGCCUGACGCAGCGACGCCGCGUGGGGGAUGAAGCUUCUCGGAGUGUAAACCCCUUUCGACCCGGACGAAAAAUCCCGCAAGGGAUCUGACGGUACGGGUAUAAGAAGCCCCGGCUAACUACGUGCCAGCAGCCGCGGUAAGACGUAGGGGGCCAGCGUUGCUCGGAAUAACUGGGCGUAAAGGGUUCGUAGGCGGUGUGGCAAGUCGGGAGUGAAAUCCUGAGGCUUAACUUCAGGACUGCUUCCGAAACUGCCAUGCUCGAGUG
rnacentral:rRNA from 1 species